rnacentral:rRNA from 1 species
CAGUUCGGAUUGAAGGCUGAAAUUCGCCUUCAUGAAGCCGGAAUUGCUAGUAAUGGCAGGUCAGCAUACUGCCGUGAAUACGUUCCCAGGCCUUGUACACACCGCCCGUCACACCAUGAGAGUUGGGGAUACCCGAAGCCUGUGAGCUAACUUUUAGAGGCAGCAGUCGAAGGUAGAAUCAAUGAUUGGGGUGAAGUCGUAACAAGGUAUC